rnacentral:pre_miRNA from 1 species
GGAGAAACCCAGACAGGGAGAGAACAGGAGGUGAAUGAGGCCACAGUCUGUGACCUCAUUUACCUCCUGUUCUCUCCCAUUCAUUCUGGGUCUUUCC